rnacentral:rRNA from 1 species
GUGGGGAAUAUUGCGCAAUGGGGGAAACCCUGACGCAGCAACGCCGCGUGAAUGAUGAAGGCCUUCGGGUUGUAAAGUUCUGUCUUCUGGGACGAUAAUGACGGUACCAGAGGAGGAAGCCACGGCUAACUACGUGCCAGCAGCCGCGGUAAUACGUAGGUGGCAAGCGUUGUCCGGAUUUACUGGGCGUAAAGGAUGCGUAGGCGGACAUUUAAGUCAGAUGUGAAAUACCCGAGCUUAACUUGGGUGCUGCAUUUGAAACUGGGUGUCUAGAGUGCAGGAGAGGUAAGUGGAAUUCCUAGUGUAGCGGUGAAAUGCGUAGAGAUUAGGAAGAACACCAGUGGCGAAGGCGACUUACUGGACUGUAACUGACGCUGAGGCAUGAAAGCGUGGGGAGCAAACAGGAUUAGAUACCCGUGUAGUCC